rnacentral:rRNA from 1 species
AUGCAGCGGUACGAGCCUGUAGAACAGAUCCUGUUCAAAAGGACUCGCAAGUGCUGGCCCGUGAGGUUCGUGGGCUGCUGCCUGCUAGAUAGACAGAGCCUGGCCCAUCUGAGAAACAUCAGUCUCUCUGGAGCAAGUGGUGACUCGCCGGCGAGGCAGAUCGUCGCCGCGGCGGGAGGCGCCGAUGCGCGCCACCCAGUCGACGAGCACCACGGCUUGAAUUUCCCUCUUCAGGUUCUUGCAAGGUUGGCCACUCUGUCAGACAACCUCUGGGCCACCCUGCACAGGCAUGAGCAAGGCAGGAACGAUCCUCUACAGCCAUUGGAUUGCCCCAUCAGGGAAAUCCUGGCCGUUAAUCACGCUCUGGCCCAGAGGAUGCAGCGGUACGAGCCUAUAGAACAGAUCCUGUUCAAUCUGGAGCUAGUGGUGAGUCGCCGGCGAAGCAGGUACGGCGAGCUCCGCCUUUUUUUAUGUCAUAUUCGCUCAGUGCCUCGUCUCAUCCGCCGGUCGUCGCCGCGGCCGGAGGCGCCGAUGCGCGCCACCCAGUCUGACGAACACCAUGGCUUGAUUUUCCCAGUCGUGUGCUUGGUUCUCCGUUCGAUUCAGGACGGGAGCUUUGUUUCAGAACCUUGCUCCUCUGUUCGGUUUUGUGACUCAGUUUCAGAUCCUUGCAAGGUUGCCCACUAUUUUUGUGCAGCUUUGCUUCAUUUGCCUAUUGUUAGUUCAUUACAAGGGGAGCUUUUCUUUUGCACCAUUAGCGACGCCGAGUUCAGAAAGGAGAAUGCGAUGGGAAGUUCGAGAUGGAGGUGGCUCUGUCGGGCGAGGUCACAUUACACGAAGUGCAAGUUCCAUGCCAGAUGCGCGCUGAAGCUGCAGCUCGCGCCGCCGGACAUUGUGUUCCAGAAGAAGGACAAAAAAGAUGUUGUAGUCUGUCAGACAACCUCUGGGCCACCCUGCACAGGCAUGAGCAAGGCAGGAACGAUCCUCUACAGCCGUGGAUUGCCCCAAUCAGGGGGAAUCCUGGCCGUUAAUCACGCUCUGGCCCAGAGGUCAGAAUGCAUCAACCAGACUGAAGUGCUUGCCUCCUUAUUGGUAAAGGAUGCAGCGGUACGAGCCUACAGAACAGAUCCUGUUCAAUAUCCACUUGUCAAUUAUUAUUUCUCACAAAUUAUCAGCACGCUAGUCAAUGUUAAAACUCUCCCUGCCGCCAACUAUAACAGCAAUUGUGCAGGCCAGGCAAUUUUGCACGACAGGGUUGUCACAAAUUCACUUGCUACUUGGGCCAACAAGGCUUCACGGCACCUCGAGGAUACUGACGUAUGCCCCCUAUGUGGUGUUGAACGCGAGGAUGAAUUCCACGCGCUUUGCAGGUGCCCACUGGCAAAGGAGCUAUGGAGGGUCAUGGCGAUGGACUGGAACAUACCCCAAGCAACAUCCACAUGCCAAUAUGGAGAAGGGGAAGAUGGUGGUUUGCGAUGGCCCGCCGCGCAUGCAGCCCUGCAGGAUAGCGACGACGCGGCCGAGCUGGGCCCCCCUAGUGCGGGCUGGGCCAAACUUAACACAGACGACAGCUUUGUUGCAGCCACAGGAGUAGCGGGAGGAGGCAUGAUCCUUCGAGAUGAUAGAGGGGAUAUCAUAUAUAGCGCAUGCAGAGAAAUCCGCACAUGUGAGAGUGCGCUGGAGGAGGAGCUCUCGGCGUGUAGAGAAGGCCUAGACCUUGUCUUACACAGGACGACGAUGCCUAUCAUUGUUGAGAUGGAUAGUGCGGAGGCUGGAUGUAGGAGAUAUAUUAGUUCUAGUGCUCUGUAA